UCCUUCGCUGCCACUUAUUGCUUAGGCCUCUCUGCUUAGACUGUGGGCCAUGAAACAUUACUCAGAAGAAACAACUUCUGCUAUGCAACAAUUAAUAUAGAAAAGACUGUAGCAAUAGAAGAUUCCCUACUCAUGUCUCAAAAGAGAAAGCUCGAGUUCUGGAGAAGCCAUGUGAGCCCAAGCCCCCACAGGUGGGGUGGACACCUGUGGGGUGGGGUGUUCCUGCCACCUUCCUGCCACCUUUCUGUUACAACGGCCCAUCACCAGCAGAUCAGAACACUGAGUGACUCCUACACCCCGGCACUGUUUUAUUGGCAUAAGCCCCCAGGUGAUGCCGCCAGCCCAACGAGCCCACUUUGUACAACCAGAUAUUAAUACUUAUGAAGAAAACGUCCUCUCCACCAAAGGUACUCUUGCAGUCACCGUUUGAAACAUGCUAAAGCCUGGUUUAACCCGUAAGAGUUGUGACUGAUCCAUUGAAGUCGAGCACAAAUAUUUUCAUGUUGCUGCUAGGAGUUGUUUUCAUGAACAGAGUGGAAUACUAAGGCGCCAAUUCUAACAGAAUAGCCAAACAACGUAAGACCUUAAUAAUUAAAUACCAGGAAGUGAUGACCGUUGACAUCAGUUUUCAGAAUUUGGAGCACAAAGAAGUG